rnacentral:rRNA from 1 species
CCUACGGGUGGCUGCAGUGAGGAAUAUUGGUCAAUGGGCGCAAGCCUGAACGAGCCAAGUAGCGUGAAGGAUGACGGCCCUCUGGGUUGUAAACUGCUUUUAUACGGGAAUAACGUGCAGUAAGUAUACUGCUUUGCAUGUACCUUAUUAAUCAGGACAGUCUAAAUCCGUGCCAGCAGCCGAGGGAAUACGUAGGGUCCGUGCGUUAUCCGGAUUUAUUGGGUUUAAAGGGAGCGUAGGCGGGCUGUUAAGCCAGGUGUGAAAGUUUGCGGCUCAACCGUGACAGUGCAGGGGAUACUGGCGUCCGUGAGGACAGUGGAGGUAGGAGGAAUGCGUGGGGUAGCGGUGAAAGGCU